AGCGAACGCUGGCGGCAGGCCUAACACAUGCAAGUCGAACGAAGUCUUCGGACUUAGUGGCGGACGGGUGAGUAACACGUGGGAACGUGCCUUUAGGUUCGGAAUAACUCAGGGAAACUUGUGCUAAUACCGGAUGAGCCCUUAGGGGGAAAGAUUUAUCGCCGAAAGAGCGGCCCGCGUUAGAUUAGCUAGUUGGUGAGGUAAAGGCUCACCAAGGCUACGAUCUAUAGCUGGUCUGAGAGGAUGAUCAGCCACACUGGGACUGAGACACGGCCCAGACUCCUACGGGAGGCAGCAGUGGGGAAUCUUGCGCAAUGGGCGAAAGCCUGACGCAGCCAUGCCGCGUGAAUGAUGAAGGUCUUAGGAUUGUAAAAUUCUUUUACCAGGGACGAUAAUGACGGUACCUGGAGAAAAAGCCCCGGCUAACUUCGUGCCAGCCGCCGCCGUAAAAC
rnacentral:rRNA from 1 species